rnacentral:rRNA from 1 species
GACGAACGCUGGCGGCGUGCUUAACACAUGCAAGUCGAACGGUGGAGGGACUGGUUUUGCUGGUCCUGGAUGAGUGGCGAACGGGUGAGUAACACGUGAGUAACCUGCCCCCUUCUUCUGGAUAACCGCAUGAGAGUGUGGCUAAUACGGGAUAUUCUGGGUCUGUCGCAUGGUGGGCCUGGGAAAGAUUGCGCCUUUUUUGGUGUUUUUGGUGGGGGAUGGGCUCGCGGCCUAUCAGCUUGUUGGGGGGGUGAUGGUCUACCAAGGGGGUGACGGGUAGCCGGCCUGAGAGGGUGGACGGUCACACUGGGACUGAGACACGGCCCAGACUCCUACGGGAGGCAGCAGUGGGGAAUAUUGCACAAUGGGCGCAAGCCUGAUGCAGCGACGCCGCGUGAGGGAUGGAGGCCUUCGGGUUGUGAACCUCUUUCGCCAGUGAAGCAGGCCUGCCUCUUUUUGUGGGUGGGUUGACGGUAGCUGGAUAAGAAGCGCCGGCUAACUACGUG